UGCUAGUCGAGCGCCUCCCAGCCACGACGGAGGCGCGGCGCACAGCUCAGUAACACGUGGCUAACCUGCCCUCGGGACGGGAAUACCCCCGGGAAACUGGGGCUAAUCCUCGAUAGGUGAAGAACUCUGGAAUGAGUCUCCGCCCAAAAGACGCUUAAAUCAUGCUUUUAGGCGCCGCCCAAGGAUGGGGCCGCGACCGAUCAGGUAGUUGGUGAGGCAACGGCUCACCAAGCCUCUAACCGGUGCGGGCCGUGGGAGCGGGAGCCCGGAGAUGGGCACUGAGACAAGGGCCCAGGCCCUACGGGGCGCAGCAGUCGCGAAAACUUUGCAAUACACGAAGGUGUGACAGGGCUAUCCCGAGUGCCAUCCGCUGAGGAAGGCUUUUACCCAGUCUAGAAAGCUGGGAGAAUAAGGAGAGGGCAAGUCUGGUGUCAGCCGCCGCGGUAAUACCAGCUCUCCGAGUGGUGUGGAUGUUUAUUGGGCCUAAAGCAUCCGUAGCUGGCCAGGUUAGUCCCCUGUUAAAUCCACCGAAUUAAUCGUUGGUGUGCGGGGGAUACUGCUCGGCUAGGGGACGAGAGAGGCCGACGGUAUUUUCGGGGUAGGGGUGAAAUCCUAUAAUCCCGAGAGGACCACCAGUGGCGAAGGCUGUCGGCUAGAACGCGCCCGACGGUGAGGGAUGAAAGCUGGGGGAGCGAACCGGAUUAGAUACCCGGGUAGUCCCAGCUGUAAACGAUGCAGGCUAGGUGUUUGGGCGGCCACGGGCCGCUCUAGUGCCGCAGGGAAGCUGUUAAGCCUGCCGC
rnacentral:rRNA from 1 species